GCCUGACUCCAGGGGAAAACCAUCUCCUUUCUGACUCCCCUAUCUGCUGAGAGCUACUUCCACUCAGUAAAACCUCACACUCAUUCUCCAAGCCCACGUGUGAUCUCAUUCUUCUGGUACACCAAGGCAAGAACCAGGGCCUCCCAAGUAGCUGGGACUACAGGGGCACGCCACCAUACACGGCAAUUUUUUUUUUUUUUUUUUAGAGACAGGGUCAGGCUAUGUUGCCCAGGCUGGUCUCAAAUUCUG
rnacentral:lncRNA from 1 species